rnacentral:rRNA from 1 species
AAUGAACGUUGGCGGCGUGGAUUAGGCAUGCAAGUCGAGCGAGAACCGUAGCAAUACGGGGAAAGCGGCGAAAGGGAGAGGAAUACGUGGGUACCUACCCCUGGAUUCGGGAUAGUCGUGGGAAACUACGGGUAAUACCGAAUAACGUCUCCGGACCAAAGGUGAGAUUCCGUCCGGGGAGGGGCCCGCGUCCUAUGAGCUUGUUGGCGAGGUAACGGCUCACCAAGGCGAAGAUGGGUACGGGAUGUGAGAGCAUGAUCCCGCUCAUUGGGACUGAGACACUGCCCAGACACCUACGGGUGGCUGCAGUCGAGAAUCUUCGGCAAUGGGGGAAACCCUGACCGAGCGACGCCGCGUGCGGGAUGAAGGCCUUCGGGUUGUAAACCGCUGUCAGAGGGGAGGAAAUGCUGGUGGGUUCUCCCACCAGUUCGACCUAGCCUCAGAGGAAGGACGGGCUAAGUUCGUGCCAGCCGCCGCGGUAAAAC